AACCUACGGGGGGCAGCAGUGGGGGAUAUUGCACAAUGGGGGGAACCCUGAUCCAGCGACGCCGCGUGAGUGAAGAAGUAUUUCGGUAUGUAAAGCUCUAUCAGCAGGGAAGAAAGAAAUGACGGUACCUGACUAAGAAGCCCCGGCUAACUACGUGCCAGCAGCCGCGGUAAUACGUAGGGGGCAAGCGUUAUCCGGAUUUACUGGGUGUAAAGGGAGCGUAGACGGCGAUGCAAGUCUGAAGUGAAAGGCGGGGGCCCAACCCCCGGACUGCUUUGGAAACUGUAAAGCUGGAGUACAGAAGG
rnacentral:rRNA from 1 species